UGAGGAAUAUUGGUCAAUGGGCGAGAGCCUGAACCAGCCAAGUAGCGUGCAGGAUGACGGCCCUAUGGGUUGUAAACUGCUUUUAUAUGGGAAUAAAGUGAGGGACGUGUCCCUUAUUGCAUGUACCAUACGAAUAAGGACCGGCUAAUUCCGUGCCAGCAGCCGCGGUAAUACGGAAGGUCCAGGCGUUAUCCGGAUUUAUUGGGUUUAAAGGGAGCGUAGGCUGUUUGUUAAGCGUGUUGUGAAAUGUAAGAGCUCAACUUUUAGAUUGCAGCGCGAACUGGCAGACUUGAGUGCGCACAACGUAGGCGGAAUUCAUGGUGUGGCGAUGAAAUGCUUAGAUAUCAUGACGAACUCCGAUUGCGAAGGCAGCUUACGGGAGCGCAACUGACGCUAAAGCUCGAAGGUGCGGGUAUCGAACAGG
rnacentral:rRNA from 1 species